CCUUUCUCUCUCUAGGUGAUUUCCCAACCUUAGGUCCUUGUUUUUCUCUUGUUUUCGAGCCUCUCCCAUCGUUCGAUUCGCGAAACCCUUUCCGUUUCACACACUUUGAACCGAACGAAACACAUUCCCGGUGUCACAUUCUCGAUUUCCAUUAGUUGGGGUUUUUUUUCCCUGAGUUACCCUCGAUCUUUGUGCCUUUUCCCAAACUCUGACCGUUUCUCCAAUUUUUCACCCCUCGGGGUUGUCUUUUGGGUUGACUUUUUGCGUUUUCACCCAUUCUUCACACUUUCGGCCAUUUUCGCACUCUUCUUGAGAUGGAGGACGACAUUCCACGAGGUGGGACUCUCCCAGAGAUGGAUAUGGACCCCGAGGUCGAGCUCCUACCUCUUCGCAUUCGACCAUUCGACCCAACGACCUACCGGCCAGCGAUACACGUGUUGCCUCCCGAUGGCAUCCGCCACUUUAGAAGCUACACACGAGGCGCGCCACUGGAGCUCUUGCUACGCGAGCCAGAGUCACACCUAUCAUUCGGCGCCGCCGAGAGAGAUUCUCAUGCCUUCCGGAGGCAUGGGAACACCAUCGCCCGAGGUUGGUACAUGGAGCUGCCCGAUGCAGUUCAUCAAACUGUUGAUCAAGCCGGCCUCGGCAUUUUCUGUAGGGGACUCUCGCGCCUCACUGCGAGUAGGCCCCUUCUGGGCACAAUAGUGGAGAGGUGUUGGGACACCACCGACUCCUUCCACCUUUCUGCUACAGGGGAGAUGACGAUGACCCCCUUCGACUUCUCGAUGCUUACCGGCAUCGAGGUAGGGGGUGAUCCGAUCCCUUUCGAUACUGAUAUGGAUGAGUGGGACGCUGCCCAGAUCUAACUGCUCGGCGCUCAGUUACCUCUCCCGUCCAGGAUUCGUGAGGUACUCUUGGUUCGAGGACCACUUCAGGAUUCAGGCACCUACGACCCGGGAUGAGGUGGGGCAGUAUGCUCGUGGCUUCAUCAUGUUCCUACUGGGGACCACCCUCUUCGCCGACCGGGCGAAAACCGUUGCCCUCUACCUGCUGAGUGCACUUGUGGAUGUGACGUGAAUCCGCCGCUACGACUGGGGUGGUGCAGGCUUGGCCACGCUCUACGGAUACAUGAGCUCAUCCUCUCGUUGUAGCGGAUGCUUGCUCGGAGGUUACUGGCGAGCUUGGGAGUUGUGGGUGUAUGCCUACUUUCCGAGGCAUGCGGCAUGCCCCAGUGCCAGAUGUGGAGAUGCCCCCCCCAUGGUUCCAUGCUCUCAUCGAUACAAUGUGAGGUGUGAGUGGAGGCCUAGGGAGUCUUUCCUGUUCUUCCGCCGAUACUUCGACACCAUUACCGCCGCAGAGAUCACCUGGCAGCCCUGGGCGAUGUUGCCUGAUAUAGUGAGAGACAGAUAUAUGGGUGCUCGGGAGACUGCCCGAUUUCAGAUUCUGCUGGAGAGCCCAGUCUGCCGGGCAUGGUACUUUGGGGAGCGCUUCCUACGGCUGACCCUCGGUUUACUAGAGCAGAUAGUCCCCAGGCCGCCUCCUACCCAUACGAGGGCUACCGAGAGGUACACCCCAGAGGAGAUGACGGAUUACACGAUCGGCUGGGAUUCAGACCUUUUCCAAGCUAAGGGCGACUACGCCGAGUUCAUCCAGACCUACCUGAUACGGCCUCUGAUUGGUGCUCGCCGAGUCGAGAGAGAGACCUGCGAUGCCAGCGGCAGGAGCAGGAGCACCGAGGGCAACUCAGGCCCGUGGCAGGAGUGGGUCCCGGAGGGGACGGGGAGCUGAGUGGCCAGCACUGCCUACCACCAUGACAUGCUGAGGGCAGGGUGGGGAGACUUAUCAGAUACCCAUCGCUCCGAGGGCUGAUCAUGAGCUCGUUGGAGUUCACGGCUCGACCCCGGUUUCCAUCGAGUACACUAGCCAGUCUCUGGAGUUGACGGCCUCAGUGAUGGGGAUGUUGCAGAGGAGCCUGGACCUACUGACCAUUUAUGGUAUCCCGACCCCAUUCCAGAUAUCGGCCACAUGGGGUGCUCUAGCUGGACCAUCUGUACCUGCCCGAGGAGCUAGGGGAGCCAGGCGCGGGAUGAUUAUACAUAGUCGGGGCAGACACAGGCGCACCCAUGCUGAGAGCAGUUCGUGGGAGCCUACUCCAGACGACAAUGAGUCAGAUGAGGAGGUAGAGUCGUCUCAGGGUGAGGCCGAAGACAGUUCAGACAGCGGAGAUGAUGGCGGUGAUCCUGGACCUUUGUCUAGGAAGAGGACGAGGAUGGACUCCCGUGCUUGAGGCGAUUGAUGUGGAUCUAGACAUUUUGCUGUUUUUCUCCUUUUUGCUUUGUUCAGACAUUUUGUUGCUUCCCCCCCCCCCUUUUUUAUUUUCUUUUUUGCUUUAUUUUCCUUUUUGCUAGCAAUUUGGGCACAUUGUACUGCCUCAGGCAAGUUUUGCU